rnacentral:rRNA from 1 species
CUUAAUUUAAGGUAUAGCCUGCUCUAUGAAUAUUUUAAAUGGCCGCGGUAUUUUGACCGUGCGAAGGUAGCAUAAUCAUUAGUCUUUUAAUUGAAGGCUGGUAUGAAUGGCUGGACGAGAAAAUUUCUGUCUCUGUUAUAAUAUUUGAAUUUUAUUUUUAAGUGAAAAAGCUUAAAUUUUUUUGAGGGACGAUAAGACCCUAUGGAUCUUUAUAAUAAUAAAUAGUAAAAAGCUUAGAUUGUAACAGCUUAUUAUUUUGAAUUAUUGGGUUGGGGCGACCAGGAGAAAAAAGUAUCUCUUCUUAAAUAAAAUAUUAUUAGUAGAAAUAAAUUGACCCUGAAUUUUGGUUUAAAAGACUAAGUUACCCUAGGGAUAACAGCGUAAUCUUUUUGGAGAGUUCAUAUCGAUGAAAGGGUUUGCGACCUCGAUGUUGGAUUAAGAGACCCUUACGGCGCAGCCGUUGUAAAGGAAAGUCUGUUCGACUUUUAAA